rnacentral:rRNA from 1 species
AUACGGGGGGUGCAAGCGUUAAUCGGAAUUACUGGGCGUAAAGCGCGCGUAGGCGGUUAAAUAAGUUGGAUGCGAAAUCCCCGGGCUCAACCUGGGAACUGCAUUCAAAACUGUUUAACUAGAGUAUGGUAGAGGGAAGUGGAAUUCCAGGUGUAGCGGUGAAAUGCGUAGAUAUCUGGAGGAACAUCAGUGGCGAAGGCGACUUCCUGGAUCAAUACUGACGCUGAGGUGCGAAAGCGUGGGGAGCAAACAGGAUUAGAUACCCCAGUAGUCC